AUCCCUGUAGAGCAUUGGAUAGCGCGCGUUGGGCUUCUAAUCCAAAGGUCGUAGGUUCGAAUCCUACCUGGGAUG